rnacentral:rRNA from 1 species
GACGAACGCUGGCGGCGUGCUUAACACAUGCAAGUCGAACGGAAAGGCCCUGCUUUUGUGGGGUGCUCGAGUGGCGAACGGGUGAGUAACACGUGAGUAACCUGCCCUUGACUUUGGGAUAACUUCAGGAAACUGGGGCUAAUACCGGAUAGGAGCUCCUGCUGCAUGGUGGGGGUUGGAAAGUUUCGGCGGUUGGGGAUGGACUCGCGGCUUAUCAGCUUGUUGGUGGGGUAGUGGCUUACCAAGGCUUUGACGGGUAGCCGGCCUGAGAGGGUGACCGGGGACAGGGGGAGAGAGGUGCGGCGAAGUAGGCGACGGGAGGCAGUAGGGGGGAGUGGUGCAGAAUGAGCUGGAGUCUGAGGCCACUGCGUCGGGAGCGGAAGAAUGGGCGACGGGGUGAGAAAAAAAGUCGACGGUAACAAACCGGGAGUGACGGUAGUUAAUAAAAAAGACACGGCUAACUACGUG